CAAUAUUAGUUGUUAAAAUGAAAGAUUUUGUGACUCCUACUGAUUCUGUCUAGAAAUAAUUAUCAUAUACGAUACAUUUAUUAUACAGUUAUACAUUAUGUGUUUAAUUUAUAAAGUGGCAUAAUUAUUAUUUAUUUAUAUUACAAUUUUAUUUUGAUAGCCAUUUAUUUUUAUUCGUAAUAAUUUUUUGUUGCUAGGCUUUGGAGGAACUUCGUUAGAUGGCGCACCCUCUUAUUGUUAGUUAAGAAAAAUCCCGGUUCUCAUGGGUACAAUAUUCUGCCUCCCCCAUCAACAAACAAUGGGUCAAAUUAAGACCCCUGUCCAGUGUGUGGAAAACCCUAAAGGAUCAGGUGGAGUGAUAAUAUACGACCGGGAGAAGUUAGCCAUGAACAAACAAUA